GAUGAAGAACGUAGCGAAUUGCGAUAAGUAGUGUGAAUUGCAGAAUUCAGUGAAUCAUCGAAUCUUUGAACGCACAUUGCGCCCCUUGGUAUUCCAUGGGGCAUGCCUGUUCGAGCGUCAUUUGUACCUUCAAGCUCUGCUUGGUGUUGGGUGUUUGUCUCGCCUCUGCGUGUAGACUCGCCUCAAAACAAUUGGCAGCCGGCGUAUUGAUUUCGGAGCGCAGUACAUCUCGCGCUUUGCACUCAUAACGACGACGUCCAAAAGUACAUUUUUACACUCUUGACCUCGGAUCAGGUAGGGAUACCCGCUGAACUUAAGCAUAUCAAUAAGCGGAGGA
rnacentral:misc_RNA from 1 species